GCAUCAUUGGUCUAACGGUUAGGAUUGCCGCCUUCCAAUGCGGACUUCGGUUCGCAGUUGAAAGCGGCAGGUUCGGGUUCGAUUCCCGAAUGAUGCA
rnacentral:tRNA from 1 species